GGGCCCGUAGCCUAGCUGGAUAGGGCGCAGUGAUUAUAAGCCUGAUAUCGGGGGUUCAAAUCCCUUCGGGCCCGCCA
rnacentral:tRNA from 1 species